rnacentral:rRNA from 1 species
GACGACGCUGGCGGCGUUGGAUUAGGCAUGCAAGUCGAACGGUAUCAUCCUUUCGGGGGUGAGAGAGUGGCGAACUGGUGAGUAACACGUAGGUUAUCUACCUCAAGACGGGGGACAACCCAGGGAAACUUGGGCUAAUACCGGAUGUGAGCAACUUUUAGUUGUUUGAAAGGUGGCGUAAGCUGUCGCUUGGGGAUGAGCCUGCGUCCUAUUAGUUAGUUGGUGAGGUAACGGCUCACCUAGGCAAUGAUAGGUAGGCGGCCUUAACGGGUGGUCGCCCACACUGGGAUUGAGAUACGGCCCAGACUCCUACGGGAGGCAGCAGUCGAGAAUAGUCUACAAUGGUCGGAAGACUGAUAGUGCGACGCCGCGUGAACGAUGAAUCCCUUCGGGGUGUAAAGUUCUUUUAUAUGUGAGCAGUGCUUCUUAUAUUAACAGUAUGGGGAGAGAGAUAUUAGCAUAUGAAUAAGCAACGGCUAACUCCGUG